GAUGAACGCUAGCGGCAGGCCUAAUACAUGCAAGUCGAGGGGCAGCGCGGUAGCAAUACUGGCGGCGACCGGCGCACGGGUGCGUAACACGUAUGCAACCUACCUUCAACUGGAGGAUAGCCCGGGGAAACUCGGAUUAAUACUCCAUAACACAGGGAUCCCGCAUGGGAAUAUUGUUAAAGCUACGGCGGUUGAAGAUGGGCAUGCGUUCGAUUAGCUAGUUGGUGUAGGUAAACGGCUCACCAAGGCUACGAUCGAUAGGGGGUCUGAGAGGAUGAUCCCCCACACUGGUACUGAGAUACGGACCAGACUCCUACGGGAGGCAGGCAGUAGGGAAUAUUGGUCAAUGGGCGCAAGCCU
rnacentral:rRNA from 1 species